rnacentral:misc_RNA from 1 species
UAACUCCUAUUAUUUUUAAUGAUCUAUGGGUGACGUUUCUUAUGUCAAAAUUGAUUUAACUUCAAAUUUGUUUUGUAAAUGUACUGUUGUUAUUAUAAAUACUAAAAUAACUGAAAUGUCUUCCCAAAUAAGUACAAAAGAAAAGUUACUUUACAUUUUGGACGACAUGGAGUUAAUAGCAAAAGAACUUAUUGAAAAUGCAAUUGCUCCCAAGCAUUUAAAGCUUUCUGGUCCCGAAUAUGCCCAGUUAACCGAGCUUCUUGUUGCAAAAGACGAAGAGUUAAAGCAGACUUUAAAAUUAGCUCAGAAACAAGCUGACAUUGAAGAAAAAAUGGAUGUACUAAGAUUGGAAGUUGAACGACGAGAUAAAGACAUAAAUCAGUUACAAACAAAACUUAAAGAAGCUGAGCAAAUACUUUCUACAGCAAUUUAUCAAGCAAAUCAAAAACUUCAGUCAAUACAUAGAGCAAAUAAGAGACCGGUGUCUUCAGAGGAGCUUAUUAAGUUUGCACAUCGAAUUAGUGCCUCUAAUGCUGUUUGUGCCCCACUCACAUGGCAACAGGGAGAUCCUAGAAGACCUUAUCCUACAGAUAUUGAGAUGAGACUUGGAUUUUUGGGUAGAUUAAGUGAUCCUAUUAAUGGCCAUCUUCUACAACAACCUAAUAAUAUAUCAGAUUUGCACAGACUUGGGGGACCAGCUACAGGGGACAUUCCUGCAUCUCAACAAAAUCAGUUUGCUUGGCUCCCGUCUGGAGAGAUACAUAUGAGUGUGGGGGGCCAAGGUAGUGUGCCAGUGGAAACUCGUAAUCACAAACAGGAAACUGAGGAUGUGGAGGUCAUGUCUACAGAUUCCAGUAGUAGCUCGUCCAGUGACUCACAGUAAAAGGCUCCAAUAUUUAAAACAUCUUAUGUAACUUGUGAAGUUUUUAACCUACAAAGUGUUGUGAAACAAAAUGAUUUUUGGGAAGCUUUUUCCGAAUAAUUUAUUGGCUUCUUACGUAAAAAAUCUUCGUACCAGGGCAAAAGCAACGUUGAGCAAUGAAACGAUUUCGAAGUCGCUAAAGGACUCGUUGAAAUUGAGUAAUUUUAGUAGCCAUUCGAUAAGACUGUUCAAAACAUGGGUUAGCCAGUGGGAAUACAUCUUGGCAUUUCGUAUCAGGAAAGGACACCAGCUAAUUUGUAUUUACUAUCGUUUUUGGAACGAAAAAAAUUUAAAGGAACUUUUGAGGCAACUGAAAUUACAACUUUUCAAGAACAGAAAGGAUGUCAUGCUAGCUGUAGUUGGGGCUUCUGUGUAUGACUGGAACACCAAUCGUAUCAAAGAUGAAGAAAUGGUCAAGCAUUUUGAUGCAUUUAAUUAUGCAUAUUUGCUAAAAUCCAAGACCAUAUCAUGUUCUACAUGUACUGAAAGGAAAGUAGAUAGUAAUAAUGUUGGUUAUAUAAAUGUUUCUCAUUGUGCAGGUAAAGAUCGUCAGACUUACGACGAGUGGUCUGUAUUCAUCGAGAAACAGGAUAUGAUAGUAUGGAGAAGGCCCCAUUCUUCUGGCAAUUUUGAAUACAAAGUCUAUGGGUCUUAUCAUGAUGUAUCAGGUGAAGAUUUUCUUAAUGUACAGAUAGAUACAAAAUACCGCAAAGAAUGGGACAAUACAGCAAUUCAACUAGAUAUAGUAGAGGCUGAUCCAAAUACAGAGUCGAAUAGUGACAUCAUUUACUGGGAAAUGCAAUGGCCAAAAUUCUUCACCAAUCGUGACUAUGUGUUCAACCGUCGUUUUACAGUGGAUUGCGACAAAAAGAUAAUCGUCAUAAUUAGCCAAAGUACAACACACCCUUCGUGUCCAGUUCAAAAGGAUAAAUAUAGGGUGACAGACUAUUUUUCUGCAAUGGUUGUUAAACCAUACACCGAACUAGACAAGCCUGGUAUCGAAUUCGUCCUAACUUACUUCGAUAACCCUGGAGUUAACAUCCCCAACAGCAUUAAUUCGUGGGUGGCAAUGAGGGCCAUGCCUGAUUUUCUAACUCGUCUCAGGGAAGCAACGAAACACUACAAACCCUUCUGCGAACGAACAGGUAAUAGCUGUAUUUGCACUUUGGAAGAUCGAAGUGGCGAACGAAAACGUAAAAAGAAGAAGUGUGACAGAAAGCCGAAACUUGUUGGUAACGUAGCAAAUGACGAGGUAUUUGGACUUAAUGCUGGAGAACUUGAAAAAGCUUUUGAAAAUAUAAAGGAAAAUGUGGAACAUAAAUUAGACGACAUAAAGGACGACAUAAAAAAAGUUCUGAGUAAAAUUAAAGAGGACUUGAAGGAAAAUUAUAACAUAGAAGAUAAGAAUAAGAAAAUCAAAAGGGGAACGAAUGAUAACUCGAGGGACGAUUACUCGGAUGCAGAGAACAAUGAAAAUGAAGAACACCAUAAAAAGAAAACUAAUAAAGAACAUCCUGUAAAACCAAAAAAACCAAACGUUGCCGGUGCCAAUAAAGAAGCUGAGGAAAUACUUAUUUCUCCUACGCCUGCUGUAAGAAAUGAGCAAGACAGGAAAAAGUUUUGGAGACAUUUCUACGACUACGACUAUUAUCACAGAUGAUGGGGAUAGUUUAUGUUAUCCAAUUUUUUAUAUUGUAGAAGUAGUACUUAUCCUAGUUAACCAUACUAAUUAAUUGUCAACAGGUAACACAAAACAAAAAAAGAGAGAAUUUAAGCGACUUUAAAAAUGCCAAAUAUGUGUAACACA